GAUUCCAUGAAAAACCAUUCGCACUUUCCAUGAUCUCUCUCUGUCUGUGACCCAAACCUCCUUCCAGUGUAUAUUCCAAAAUCGCCAUUUCAACCUCGAAGUUACAAUCAAUUUACGAAUCAUACCAUCGGUUUCAAAAAGAACCAUCAACGCACCGCUCGUUUGUUCAUUGUCGCGUUUAUACGAUUUUCCAUUUCAAUUGGACGCUUUGAAACUGCUCGUACUCGAAGAUUUUUUGGUUUUUGAGCAUUUCGUUUCAUUCCAUUGGGUUAAGAAUGGGGGUCGUAGGGACGACGAAGCAUUUGGAAUCAUCGAGAAUAAUUGCUCCGCUUGAUGUAAGUCAUUCUGAGGAAAGACUGGGACAAUUUACCAUGGAAAAUGGUGAGUUCUUUUUCCAUACCAAGUCACCUAAGUUCAAGAGGCAGAUAGUAUCUGCUGUUCGUGAUUUCCCCCCCGGGUGUGGACGAUUUGCUCGUUUGAACUCUUUGAGACAUGCUAAGGAUGCCACUUCUGUGAGUACUUCCGACAGUGUACCAACAGAAAGUUUGGUUAGUAGGGGUAAAAAUGUUGGUGGACAUCGGGGGGUUGAAAAGCUGAUGAUCUCAAAUGGUCAGGGAGACGAGACUAACUUGAUGAAUGGUAAUGAUGUGGAUUCUGUGGAGACAGUUGAAUCAGUAAGCGCCUUGGAGCAUGAAAGAUCUGAUUCUCUGAAGAAUCUACUUCAGUUAAACAAUUUGAGACCUGUUGAAGAGGCAGCUUCUGUUGGUACUGCGGAGAGUUUGAUCAGCAGGGAUACUAAUGUUGAUGGAAAAAGGGUUGAAAACUUAACUGAUCAUGUGCAUGAGACUGACUUGAUGAAUGGUAAGGCUUCUGGUACUGUGGAGAUGAUUGUACCUGUGACAGAUUUGGAGCAUGAAGCAUCUGAUUUGCUAAAGAGUAUGCAUCAGUUGUCAAACAAUUUGAGACCUGUUGACGAGGUAGCUUCUGUUGGUACUGCUGAGUAUUUUCUGAGAAGGGGUAAGAAUGGUGAUGGACAGGAGAUUGAUAAGCUGAUGGUGUCAACUGGUCAGGUGGAUGAGACUGUCUCGAUGACUGUGGAGACGGUUGAAUCUUUAACGGCCUUACAGAAUGAAGUAUCUGAGCUUGGCGUGGCUGUUCCAAAGGAAGAGAUGGUUGCUGUUCUUUCAGAUAGAAAUUUUUGUUCGCCACCUGAUGGAUCCAUUUCUGUUUCUAUUGGAAAUUGUCUCGAGAAGACUGCAGCGAAGAAAUGUCCUUCUCGAAGACUAGUAUCAGCCGUUAGGGACUUCCCUCCUCUCUGUGGAAGAAAUGCUUGUAAGUUUGGUCAAGUGAAGUCGUGUAUGGGUGAUGAACCAUCACAAUCGAACACAGCGAAGACUAGUGUAAAACAAAUAAGAGAGGAUUUUCAAGAAGAGUUUCAUAAGAAAGAAUUGGGAGGGAAUGUUUCUGAAGUUAUUAGAGACAAGGUUCAACCUAAAUGCAAGGGGCAUGCUGUACAAGAAAUGGAGAGACAAGAUAAAUGUAAACCAAGUUAUAAGCCGAAGGUGGUUUGGAAAGAUACAAUAGAAAAGUGCAUUGAGAAAAGUCCACAACAAAGUUCACAACUUCCGUCGAAUAGGGUAAUUGUGCUGGCUUUGAUGGCUCCGUCAAAUUCUCAAUUUAGGAAGGGGAGAAUGGUCCGCAAGCAUAUACCAGAUGGUGGUAUGAGUGAAAGGAAACGAAAGAAACUUCAUCUUAAAUGUUAGCUAGAAGGACCUAAAACUACUUCCAGGACAGAAAAGGCAGCUAAACCCAUCAGAACCAUUCAUCAACAAAUGAGCCUUCAAGUUUUGACAUGGAGGUUGAACGCGGACAUUUUUCAAUGAGCCGGCUGCCCUGUUUUGCCUAAAAGCUAAAAUGAUCUGUUAUUGGCACUUUGAAAAUUACACGUGGACGAGCAUGAUGACUUUUGUGGAGUGCCAAUAACAGCUUACGUUUUUUUCUUUUUGUAAAGUGAAGUAUGAAUCCUGGAAGCAUGCUGUGGAGCAUCACAAUAGGAGUUGGUUAAUUGUUACAUCUGUUCUUUUUAACACCAUUUUACUUUUAUUUUAGGUUCGUCACGGAAGGGAUUUUGGGAGCUUGCAUUCAAGGCAAACACCAAAUGAUAUGAUUUCAGUAAGUCAGUGUGAAACUGAAGCUGAAGCCUCUUCGGGGUUAUGACCGUUCCUGCCGGCUAUAAUGAUCCUGAUGUCGUUCUAUGUACUUGAAAGCUAGUCACGGUAACCAAGGCCGAAAGCUUACUUAACUUAUGGAAACACUUCCCAUGAGGAGCUAACUAGGCCAAGAAAGAACUUCAAAAAGGUCUCUCGUCCAUCGUUAGCAAUAUCAAAGAGAUGGUCAAGAAAGCCAAAAAAUACUAGAAGAAUGUAGGAAUUGUUGAACAGGAUAAAAUUGAUUGCCAAAUAAAAUUCUGAAUGUGAAUAAACUAAGUACUAUUAUUUCUUUAAACCUCAA